UAGAGUUUGAUCCUGGCUCAGAUUGAACGCUAGCGGGAUGCCUUACACAUGCAAGUCGAACGGCAGCACGGACUUCGGUCUGGUGGCGAGUGGCGAACGGGUGAGUAAUGUAUCGGAACGUGCCUAGUAGCGGGGGAUAACUACGCGAAAGCGUAGCUAAUACCGCAUACGCCCUACGGGGGAAAGCAGGGGAUCGCAAGACCUUGCACUAUUAGAGCGGCCGAUAUCGGAUUAGCUAGUUGGUGGGGUAACGGCUCACCAAGGCGACGAUCCGUAGCUGGUUUGAGAGGACGACCAGCCACACUGGGACUGAGACACGGCCCAGACUCCUACGGGAGGCAGCAGUGGGGAAUUUUGGACAAUGGGGGAAACCCUGAUCCAGCCAUCCCGCGUGUGCGAUGAAGGCCUUCGGGUUGUAAAGCACUUUUGGUAGGAAAGAAACGUUCCGGGUUAAUACCCCGGGAAACUGACGGUACCUGCAGAAUAAGCACCGGCUAACUACGUGCCAGCAGCCGCGGUAAUA
rnacentral:rRNA from 1 species